rnacentral:rRNA from 1 species
AGGGUUUGAUUCUGGCUCAGGAUGAACGCUGGCGGCGUGCUUAACACAUGCAAGUCGAACGGAGCACCCCUGACGGAGUUUUCGGACAACUGAAGGGACUGCUUAGUGGCGGACGGGUGAGUAACGCGUGAGGAACCUGCCUCGGAGUGGGGAAUAACACAGUGAAAAUUGUGCUAAUACCGCAUGAUGCAGUUGGGUCGCAUGGCUCUGACUGCCAAAGAUUUAUCGCUCUGAGAUGGCCUCGCGUCUGAUUAGCUGGUUGGCGGGGUAACGGCCCACCAAGGCGACGAUCAGUAGCCGGACUGAGAGGUUGGCCGGCCACAUUGGGACUGAGACACGGCCCAG